CCCCAGUUUAACCCAGCAGUACAUACCUCCAGGUCAGUCCCCAGUUUAACCCAGCAGUACAUACCUCCAGGUCAGUCCCCAGUUUAACCCAGCAGUACAUACCUCCAGGUCAGUCCCCAGUUUAACGCACCAGCAGUACAUACCUCCAGGUCAGUCCCCAGUUUAACCCAGCAGUACAUACGUCCAGGUCAGUUUAACCCAGCAGUACAUACCUCCAGGUCAGCCCCCAGUUUAACCCAGCAGUACAUACCUCCAGGUCAGUCCCCAGUUUAACCCAGCAGUACAUACCUCCAGGUCAGCCCCCAGUUUAACGCACCAGCAGUACAUACCUCCAGGUCAGUCCCCAGUUUAACGCACCAGCAGUACAUACCUCCAGGUCAGUCCCCAGUUUAACCCAGCAGUACAUACGUCCAGGUCAGUUUAACCCAGCAGUACAUACCUCCAGGUCAGCCCCCAGUUUAACCCAGCAGUACAUACCUCCAGGUCAGUCCCCAGUUUAACCCAGCAGUGCAUACCUCCAGGUCAGUCCCCAGUUUAACCCAGCAGUACAUACCUCCAGGUCAGUCCCCAGUUUAACCCAGCAGUACAUACCUCCAGGUCAGUGAAGGGAAAUCUUAACGCUACAGCAUACAAUGACAUUCUAGACAAUUCUGUGCUUCCAACUUUGUGGCAACAGUUUGGGGGAAGGCCCUUUCCUGUACAGGAUGACAAUGCCCCCAGUGCACAAAGCGAGGUCCAUACAGAAAUGGUUUUGUGUCGAGAUCGUUGUGGAAGAACUUGACUGGCCUGCACAGAGCCUGACCUCAACCCCAUCAAACACCUUUGGGAUGAAUUAGAACACCGACUGCAAGCCAGGCCUAAUCGCCCAACAUCAGUGCCCAACCUCAAUAAUGCUCUUGUGGCUGAAUGGAAGCAAGUCCCCCUGCAGCAAUGUUCCAACAUCUAGUGGAAAGCCUUCCCAGAAGAGUGGAGGCUGUUAUAGCAGCAAUGUUCCAACAUCUAGUGGAAAGCCUUCCCAGAAGAGUGGAGGCUGUUAUAGCAGCAAUGUUCCAAC
rnacentral:lncRNA from 1 species